rnacentral:rRNA from 1 species
CCUACGGGAGGCUGCAGUGGGGAAUAUUGGACAAUGGGGGCAACCCUGAUCCAGCCAUGCCGCGUGUGUGAAGAAGGCCCUCGGGUUGUAAAGCACUUUCAGUGAGGAAGAACGCCUGGUGGUUAAUACCCAUCAGGAAAGACAUCACUCACAGAAGAAGCACCGGCUAACUCCGUGCCAGCAGCCGCGGUAAUACGGAGGGUGCGAGCGUUAAUCGGAAUUACUGGGCGUAAAGCGCGCGUAGGUGGCUUGAUAAGCCGGUUGUGAAAGCCCCGGGCUCAACCUGGGAACGGCAUCCGGAACUGUCAAGCUAGAGUGCAGGAGAGGAAGGUAGAAUUCCCGGUGUAGCGGUGAAAUGCGUAGAGAUCGGGAGGAAUACCAGUGGCGAAGGCGGCCUUCUGGACUGACACUGACACUGAGGUGCGAAAGCGUGGGUAGCAAACAGGAUUGGAUACCCUUGUAGUC